rnacentral:piRNA from 1 species
UCAACUUUAAAACUUCAAACU